AAAGAUUAAGCCAUGCAUGUCUAAGUAUAAGCAAUCUAUACGGUGAAACUGCGAAUGGCUCAUUAAAUCAGUUAUCGUUUAUUUGAUAGUACCUUACUACUUGGAUAACCGUGGUAAUUCUAGAGCUAAUACAUGCUAAAAACCCCAACUUCGGAAGGGGUGUAUUUAUUAGAUAAAAAACCAACGCCCUUCGGGGCUCCUUGGUGAUUCAUAAUAACUAAACGAAUCGCAUGGCCUUGCGCCGGCGAUGGUUCAUUCAAAUUUCUGCCCUAUCAACUUUCGAUGGUAGGAUAGUGGCCUACCAUGGUAUCAACGGGUAACGGGGAAUUAGGGUUCUAUUCCGGAGAGGGAGCCUGAGAAACGGCUACCACAUCCAAGGAAGGCAGCAGGCGCGCAAAUUACCCAAUCCCGACACGGGGAGGUAGUGACAAUAAAUACUGAUACAGGGCUCUUACGGGUCUUGUAAUUGGAAUGAGUACAAUUUAAAUCCCUUAACGAGGAACAAUUGGAGGGCAAGUCUGGUGCCAGCAGCCGCGGUAAUUCCAGCUCCAAUAGCGUAUAUUAAAGUUGUUGCAGUUAAAAAGCUCGUAGUUGAACCUUGGGCCUGGCUGGCCGGUCCGCCUCACCGCGUGCACUGGUCCGGCCGGGCCUUUCCUUCUGGGGAUCCGCAUGCCCUUUACUGGGUGUGCUGGGGAACCAGGACUUUUACUUUGAAAAAAUUAGAGUGUUCAAAGCAGGCCUUUGCUCGAAUACAUUAGCAUGGAAUAAUAGAAUAGGACGUGCGGUUCUAUUUUGUUGGUUUCUAGGACCGCCGUAAUGAUUAAUAGGGAUAGUCGGGGGCAUCAGUAUUCAAUUGUCAGAGGUGAAAUUCUUGGAUUUAUUGAAGACUAACUACUGCGAAAGCAUUUGCCAAGGAUGUUUUCAUUAAUCAGUGAACGAAAGUUAGGGGAUCGAAGACGAUCAGAUACCGUCGUAGUCUUAACCAUAAACUAUGCCGACUAGGGAUCGGGCGAUGUUACUAUUCUGACUCGCUCGGCACCUUACGAGAAAUCAAAGUCUUUGGGUUCUGGGGGAGA
rnacentral:rRNA from 1 species